rnacentral:rRNA from 1 species
UACAGAGGUGGCAAGCGUUGUUCGGAAUUACUGGGCGUAAAGGGCGCGUAGGCGGCCAUCUAAGUCAGACGUGAAAUCCCCCGGCUUAACCUGGGAACUGCGUGUGAUACUGGAUGGCUUGAAUCCGGGAGAGGAAUGCGGAAUUCCAGGUGUAGCGGUGAAAUGCGUAGAUAUCUGGAGGAACACCGGUGGCGAAGGCGGGUCUCUGGGCAACAACUGACGCUGAGGAGCGAAAGCGUGGGGAGCGAACAGG